AGCAGCCGCGGUAAUUCCAGCUCCAAUAGCGUAUAUUAAAGUUGUUGCAGUUAAAAAGCUCGUAGUUGAAUUUCGGGGCCAGUAGGUCGGUCGUGCCACUGGUAUGAACUGGUCUCACUGGUCCCUCCCUCUUGAGGAACCGUGAUGCCAUUAAUUUGGUGUUGCGGGGAAACAGGACUGUUACUUUGAAAAAUUGAGUGCUUAAAGCAGGCUUACGCUUGAAUACAUUAGCAUGGAAUAACGAAAUAGGACGAUCGAUUCUAAUUUUGUUGGUUUCUAGGGUCGACGUAAUGAUUAAUAGGGAUAGUUGGGGGCAUUAGUAUUCAAUUGUCAGAGGUGAAAUUCUUGGAUUUAUUGAAGACUAACUACUGCGAAAGCAUUUGCCAAGGAUGUUUUCAUUAAUCAAGACGAAAGUUAGGGGAUCGAAGACGAUCAG
rnacentral:rRNA from 1 species